rnacentral:rRNA from 1 species
UACAGAGGUCUCAAGCGUUGUUCGGAUUCAUUGGGCGUAAAGGGUGCGUAGGCGGCGCGGUAAGUCGGGUGUGAAAUCUUGGAGCUUAACUCCGAAACUGCAUUCGAUACUGCCGUGCUUGAGGACUGGAGAGGAGACUGGAAUUUACGGUGUAGCGGUGAAAUGCGUAGAUAUCGUAAGGGAAGACCAGUGGCGAAGGCGGGUCUCUGGACAGUUCCU